rnacentral:rRNA from 1 species
CCUACGGGUGGCAGCAGUGGGGAAUAUUGGACAAUGGGCGCAAGCCUGAUGCAGCGACGCCGCGUGAGUGAAGAAGGCUUUCGGUAUGUAAAGCUCUAUCAGCAGGGAAGAAAAUGACGGCACUUGAUUAAGAAGCAACGGCUAACUACGUGCCAGCAGCCGCGGUACUACGUAGGGGGCAAGCGUUAUCCGGAUUUACUGGGUGUAAUGGGAGCGUAGACGGCUGCACAAGUCUGGAGUGAAAGGCCGGGGCUCAACCCCUGAACUGCUUUGGAAACUGUGCAGCUAGAGUGCAGGAGAGGUAAGUGGAAUUCCUAGUGUAGCGGUGAAAUGCGUAGAUAUUAGGAGGAACACCAGUGGCGAAGGCGGCUUACUGGACUGUAACUGACGUUGAGGCUCGAAAGCGUGGGGAGCAAACAGGAUUAGAUACCCGUGUAGUC